GAGUUUGACCCUCUAGAAUCAGAGACCUGGGGCCGGAAGUCCUUGGGGCCGACCUCCUCCAGGGCCCCCAUCCUGGCUGAGCAAGCCAGGCACCCGUGCCGAGCUGGAGCCUUGGCUGAGGGUCUCCAGGGCCUGGGGGAAUUGAGGCUGGGGGCUGCGGGGUGGCUGUCACCGUCAGGCCAGGCGGCCCCUCGCUCUGCUUGUAGCCACCUUGGCCACUCGCGCCAGAAGGCUCACGUGAGGCGGGGGCUUUGGGGCCAGGAACCCUGGGCCCAGGAGGCCUCUGGCGGGGGUCCAGCUGGGUCAGGGUUAGCUCUUUCCCAUGUCCAUCCCCAUCUCCCCCUCCCGGUGCUGGGAGUAGAGAGAGGUCAGUUCCAGAAAGAAUGUUUGGGGGUAGGGGGUGGUCAUGGGUCUGGGAGCCGUGGAGAUAACAAACAGACAAGCAGGGUGGUGGGGCACCGGCCCACGCCCCUCCCUCCGGCACUGUUGUUUCUGGCCUUGGUGCAGGAACAGCGAGGCAGAGUCCUUCGAAAGUGGAGACCAGCGGAGGUGGCUCCCUACCACUCCCCAGCCAAGCACCGGCCCCCAACCCCCCGGUCCUCAGCUCAACCCCUUCCCCAGGCAGCCCGCCAGGCCCACCCCACCUCGGCUCAAACCUCCCACUUCCUGCCACCUGCUGCUGUCGGGGGUCUGACCCGGAGACCCCUGGGAGAGUCUCCAGGAGCCCAGAGAUGGGUCCCUGAGGCUGUCCCCAGAAGCUGGGCCGGGGUCCGUCACUCCACAAUCCCCACCCUCCAAAGCACUGGGCUGAGAUAUGGGAUAUUGGGGGCACCCCUGGAGCCUCAGGAGGGGGUUGCAAGUGGGUGCUGCCUCCCAGGCUCCCUUCACCGGGAGAUGCUCAGAGACGUAGACCCAGGGUCAAGGUCACAGGGUCGUUCCCAGCCAAGCCUGGCUCUGUGCUUUGCCAGGGAUGAAGGUGGGCCUCCACAGCCUGGGGGUCCAGAGCCUGUGAGCUCCGGGUGCCCCGCCUUCUGCAGCCCCAUGUGGACCACGCUGCUGGCCCAUCAGAACCUCGUGGGGCGGGGAUGGGGGGGCGGAGGGGGGCAAGGAGCGCAUUCCGCCAGCCUCACUGACCCCCUGCCCAGUCCAUCUGUGUUUUUGGAAAACAGAACCGGCGCCCGGCAGCCCUGCAGCCUGAGGCCGUUCACACUGCGUCUCAAAGCAUACGAUUUUCUUCUUCAAAGUCCAUCCUCACUUCAGAACUUGGCCCUGCUCCAGCCUGGCCUCCCUGGGGGCACCCUGCCUGCCCCUCCCACACCCAUGGCCCACUUGCUGGGGGACCUUGGAAAUCCCCUUCCCUCUCUGGGCCUCAGGUUCUGGGCUGCGGGUCAGGCCUGCGUGGUAGCUCAGCGGGCAGCAAGAACAGGGCUGGGAGGAGGUGAACAUGGGGGCCCUGGCUCUGAACCCGAGGCUUUGUCCCUUCCUAACCCUUCCUGGCUCUCACUGGCCCUCUCUGGCCCUCUGUGA
ensembl:lncRNA